GCCUCACCACUCGCGGCCGCGGGGGAGUACAGGAGUGUGGUGCUGUGGGCGGGAACUGUGGCUGCCUGCUUUCCUGUCAGUCUCCCCUGUUAGACUGUUGUAAAGAAGAUGGGUUCAUCUGGAUGCAGGCUCCCUGUUUACUAGUUGUGGGUGAGAACAUUCUGGCUGCUGCCUCUGGUGAAAACAAGGUACAUUGUAACUGUCAUCAUCUUGGGAAUUCUGGCAUAUCAUAUAGGUCACCAGAUGUAUUGACAUGAGAGAUUAUUAAAACUUCUUGGAGAAACAUGAAAGACAAUUUGGGGCUAAUAGUCCCAAGGCCUUGGGAUGAAACCUAUAAGAAUGAAGAGGGAAAAUGCGGCCUCUACACUCUGGGAGGACGUGGCGUGUCACAGUGAGCACAGUACUCGCCCCAGGGUCAGAAAGGGUCAGAUGCCUAGCUGGUGUUCUGCUCUAUCAUCCUCUUCUUGGUGGAGAAAGGUCCCCAGGAGCAGAGCCCAGAGCCCAUAGACUGGAGGCUGAGCAUCACCGCCCUGGGUGCAGGCCUCCCUCACCUGCAGGGCCACUGGAGAAGCCCACUGUGGGAGAGACCCUGGAGUCCGGGCCCAGGACAGUCAGCAGGAGAUACCUGAGCUCCCUGAAGAACAAGCUGUCCAGUGGGGCCUGGAGGAAAUCUUGCCAGCCUGGGACCUGCCCCGGCCCAGGGAUGCAGGAGCCUGAGGAGAAGAGGAUCGUCCAGGAGCUGCUGGAGACAGAGCAGGCCUAUGUGGCACGCCUCCACCUGCUAGACCAGGUGUUCUUCCAGGAGCUGCUGAAGGAGGCCCGUAGCAGCAAGGCCUUCCCUGAGGAUGUGGUCAGACUCAUUUUCUCCAACAUCUCCUCCAUCUACCAGUUCCAUGCACAGUUCUUCCUCCCAGAGCUGCAGCAGCGGCUGGAUGACUGGACGACCACCCCCCGCAUUGGCGAUGUGAUCCAGAAGCUGGCCCCCUUCCUGAAAAUGUACAGUGAGUAUGUCAAGAACUUCGAGCGAGCCAUUGAGCUGCUGGCCACCUGGACUGACAAGUCUCUACCCUUCCAGGAGGUUCUCACCCGCAUUCAGAAUAGCGAGGCCUCAGGCAGCCUGACCUUGCAGCACCACAUGCUGGAACCUGUGCAGAGAAUCCCACGCUAUGAGCUUCUGCUCAAGGAAUACGUCCAGAAGCUGCCAGCCCAGGCCCCAGACCUGGCCGAUGCACAGAAAGCACUCGACAUGAUCUUCUCAGCUGCUCAGCAUUCCAACACAGCCAUCACUGAGAUGGAGCGGCUGCAGGAACUAUGGGAGGUGUACCAGCGCCUGGGCCUGGAGGACGACAUAGUAGACCCCUCCAACACCCUGCUCCGAGAGGGCCCUGUCCUCAAGAUCUCCUUCCGUCGCAGCGGCCCCAUGGAGCGCUACCUUUUCUUGUUCAACAACAUGCUGCUGUACUGUGUGCCCAGGGUCAUUCAGGUGGGCGCCCACUUCCAGGUCAGGACCCGCAUUGACGUGGCCGGGAUGAAGGUGCGGGAGCUGACUGAUGCCGAGUUCCCCCACUCCUUCCUGGUGUCCGGGAAGCAGCGCACCCUGGAGCUGCAGGCCCGGUCCCAGGAGGAAAUGAUCUCCUGGAUGCAGGCCUUCCAAGCAGCCAUUGACCAAAUCGAGAAGCGGAAUGAAACCUUCAAGGCUGCAGUCCAGAGCCCUGGGGGAGACCCUCAGGAGCAGGAGCUGCAGUCCGAGGAGCUAGGCCUCCGAGCGCCACAGUGGGUCCGGGACAAGAUGGUGACCAUGUGCAUGCGCUGCCGAGAGCCCUUCAACGCCCUGAAGCGCCGUCGCCACCACUGCCGGGCCUGCGGCUAUGUGGUGUGUGCCAGGUGCUCCGACUACCGGGCUGAGCUCAAAUACGACAGCAACAGGCCCAACCGAGUCUGCUUGGACUGCUAUACCUUCCUCACUGGAAACGUGCUCCCUGAGGACAAGGAAGACAAGAGACGGGGCAUCCUGGAGAAAGGAUCUGCGGCAGGGUCCGAGCAGAGCCUAAUGUGCAGCUUCCUGCAGCUCGUCGGGGACAAGUGGGGCAAGAGCGGGCCCCGGGGCUGGUGUGUGAUCCCCCGGGACGACCCCCUUGUACUCUAUGUCUAUGCUGCCCCUCAGGUAACUCACACUGCAAAAGCCAGUGGCUAUGUCACGAGGAUACUCAAGCAGCUCUGUGGAGAGGUCCAUGUGGAGAGGAACUGAGGCACCCAGCCUACAGACACCAUCAACUUGCCAGCUGUAUGAGUGAGUUACCUUAGAAACAGAUCCUCCAGUCCCAGUUGAGCCUUCAGAUGACUGUAGCCCCAGCCAACUGCAGCCUCAUGAGAGACCUCAACUGAGACCUGCCUAGUGAUUACACUGACUCCUAAACAUAUCUAGGAAAACCCCUUGAACUCAUCAAUAGACCUUCAGAUUAAUCCACCCCAUGGCUUGUUGGUCCUAUCCUGAAGCUUGACCGUUUCUCCAUUUCCCUAUCUAAUAUCCUUCCUGGAGUCCAUGAGACUAAUGUCCACUACCCAGAGCACAGCUGAGGGCUCCCAAGAGCUGGCAGUGCAGUGGGGAUGAAUAAGGCCAGCGAUCGCACCUUACAUGGCCAUCCCCAAGGCUGCCUGGAAUCCCUGGGAUUACGCAGACUUCUGGAAGAUUUGGAGCAAGUGCACAUCACCUGCUGCCUCCACAAGUGUGCCUGGGUUUCUGCAGCCUCCGUCUUGUGACUGAGGAAUUUUUAAAUGGAAGCUCUGAGCUCACAAAGAAGAAAAUGUCUCCCUGAUGUCACACAGUUGCUGCCAAUUCAUCAGUGCAAGCUAAAGGCCUCCCCCCAGAAGAGAGGAAAUUCCACAGCACUGAUGUGAUGGGAAACGUGAUCUGCACUCUUUCUUUCUCACUCUCCCCGGCCAGUUCCCAAACUGGGUUUCCCUGGUCCCCCUGGAAGCGGCCUUCUCCUCUCCCCUCUCCUCCCUCCUCCCUCUCCCUCUCCAUUUUACACACUGUAACCUGAUAGGCUGGAAAGUCAGCUUCUUUCAUCUUCCAUUUCCCACAUCCUGAAAGUCUGUAGAGAAGGAGCCCACCCAGAUAAAGGAAUUCCAAGUAUGUGCACCCCCUCCCCCUUUAACUCCAUUCACAAAGCAGAUUACUAAUGGCCCGAAGCUCCAGGGAGGCCCUACCCCACUCCCCACCCCUGGCCUCCAAAGAGUUUACUCAUCCACAUCCUUCUCACUGGCACAAAAGCCCAAGUCCACAGGCCCAGAACCAAAAAUUAACUUUUCCCCGGACUCGGAUCCUAGGGAAUGCUUUCAGACUGCACCCCAGUUGGGACUGCAACGGCUACGAGAUUCUGUCUACCAUUCAUCUGUGCCCUCUCAGGCAUUUCGAGAUAAGAGGGCUCAGGGAAAAUGUGUCAUUGGAUCAGGGGAAAAGAUAUAAAUGUAACAUGUGAUGUUUCAAGGAGACACGCUCAUGUCUUUGGGAAAGAUCACAGACUGUUCUAAUCCAGAGACAUUCCUUUGUGACAGAAAUUGUUUUGAGGCCAGAGGAAAAUAUGCUUUAUUUGAGGGGCUAGGCAAAGAUUGGGUGUGUGUGUGGGUGUGUGUGCGUGUCUGUCUUGGGGAGGGAAGUUCUGUUAACAUUUUUGUUAAUACAUUUCUUGAGUUGAAA